UUUAGCCUACGGGAGGCAGCAGUUAGGAAUAUUCGGCAAUGGGGGAAACCCUGACCGAGCAAUGCCGCGUGUGAGAUGACGGCCCUAUGGGUUGUAAAUCACUUUUAUUUGGGAAGAACUGUAAGUAGGGGAAAUGAUACUUACUUGACGGUACCUUUUGAAUAAGCCCCGGCUAACUACGUGCCAGCAGCCGCGGUAAUACGUAGGGGGCGAGCGUUAUCCGGAUUUAUUGGGCGUAAAGCGUGCGUAGGCGGUUUGUUAAGUCCAGAAUUAAAGCCCGAGGCUUAACCUCGGUUCGUUCUGGG
rnacentral:rRNA from 1 species